AAAAAAGAAUAUAGUGGUCCCCUCCAUCCUAUCCAUCCUAUUACCCUAUCGGUUUGUAUGAAACUGAAAUCACAUCAUCACUCAGCUCAAUUCAAAUCACCGCCAUCAUUAUCAUCACUGCCAUCACGUUCCGCCGCUGCAUUCCCCUCUCUCUCUCUCUGUCUCCGUCUUUUUUCAUUUCAGUCUCAUUUCGUCAUAUUCCCCUCUACCUCUUUUAUUUUAAUGCAACUGUAUCAAUGCAAUGUUGAUCUUAAAUUGAUUUUAUUAUUCUAUAUAAUCGUCUACUUGUUUUUCUCAACAUUGCAUGUUGUUGAUAAUGAUAAAGAUACUGAUCAUUGUUUCUUUGAAAUCACAGAAAUUGCAUUAGGUUGUGGAAUUUGA